GUGCUCGCUUUGGUGGCACAUAUACUAAAAUUGGAACAAUACAGAGAAGAUUAGCAUGGCCCUACUCAAGGAUGACACGCAAAUUUGUGAAGCGUUCCAUAUUUUU